rnacentral:rRNA from 1 species
UGGGGAAUUUUGCGCAAUGGGCGAAAGCCUGACGCAGCAACGCCGCGUGUGUGAUGAAGGUCUUCGGAUUGUAAAGCACUUUCGACCGGGACGAAAACCCUGAGGCUAACAUCCUCAGGCUUGACGGUACCGGGAGAAGAAGCACCGGCUAACUCUGUGCCAGCAGCCGCGGUAAUACAGAGGGUGCAAGCGUUGUUCGGAAUUAUUGGGCGUAAAGCGCGUGUAGGCGGCUUUGCAAGUCGGGUGUGAAAGCCCUCAGCUCAACUGAGGAAGUGCGCCCGAAACUGCAGAGCUUGAGUGCCGGAGAGGGUGGCGGAAUUCCCCAAGUAGAGGUGAAAUUCGUAGAUAUGGGGAGGAACACCGGUGGCGAAGGCGGCCACCUGGACGGUAACUGACGCUGAGACGCGAAAGCGUGGGGAGCAAACAGG